rnacentral:rRNA from 1 species
CAAUAGCGUAUAUUAAAGUUGUUGCGGUUAAAAAGCUCGUAGUUGGAUUUCUGCUGAGAACGACCGGUCCGCCCUCUGGGUGUGUAUCUGGCUCUUUCUUGGCAUCUUCUUGGUGAACGUUGCUGCACUUGACUGUGUGGAGCGCUACCCAGGACUUUUACUUUGAGGAAAUUAGAGUGUUUCAAGCAGGCAUACGCCUUGAAUACAUUAGCAUGGAAUAAUAAGAUAGGACCUCGGUUCUAUUUUGUUGGUUUCUAGAGCUGAGGUAAUGAUUAAUAGGGAUAGUUGGGGGCAUUCGUAUUUAACUGUCAGAGGUGAGAUUCUUGGAUUUGUUAAAGACGGACUACUGCGAAAGCAUUUGCCAAGGAUGUUUUCAUUG